GAGUUUGAUCAUGGCUCAGGAUGAACGCUAGCGACAGGCCUAACACAUGCAAGUCGAGGGGCAUCGGGGAGUGGCAACACUCCGCCGGCGACCGGCGCACGGGUGAGUAACGCGUAUGCAACCUGCCCGCACCGAGGGGGAUAACCGGGAGAAAUCCCGUCUAAUACCGCGUAACGCCUCAUGGGGGCAUCCCCAAGAGGCCAAAGGUUUUCCGGGAGCGGAUGGGCAUGCGUGACAUUAGCUAGGUUGGCGGGGUAACGGCCCACCAAGGCGACGAUGUCUAGGGGUUCUGAGAGGAA
rnacentral:rRNA from 1 species